rnacentral:rRNA from 1 species
UACGUAGGGCGCAAGCGUUGUCCGGAAUCAUUGGGCGGAAAGAGCUCGUAGGCGGCCUGUGGCGUCCGCUGUGAAAUCCCGGGGCUUAACCCCGGGCGUGCAGUGGAUACGGGCUGGCUGGAGGCAGGCAGGGGAGAACGGAAUUCCCGGUGUAGCGGUGAAAUGCGCAGAUAUCAGGAGGAACACCGGUGGCGAAGGCGGUUCUCUGGGCCUGUACUGACGCUGAGGAGCGAAAGCGUGGGGAGCGAACAGG